GAUGAACGCUGGCGGCGUGCCUAAUACAUGCAAGUCGAGCGAACAGAUGAGGAGCUUGCUCCUCUGACGUUAGCGGCGGACGGGUGAGUAACACGUGGAUAACCUACCUAUAAGACUGGGAUAACUUCGGGAAACCGGAGCUAAUACCGGAUAAUAUAUUGAACCGCAUGGUUCAAUAGUGAAAGACGGUUUUGCUGUCACUUAUAGAUGGAUCCGCGCCGCAUUAGCUAGUUGGUAAGGUAACGGCUUACCAAGGCAACGAUGCGUAGCCGACCUGAGAGGGUGAUCGGCCACACUGGAACUGAGACACGGUCCAGACUCCUACGGGAGGCAGCAGUAGGGAAUCUUCCGUAAUGGGCGAAAGCCUGACGGAGCAACGCCGCGUGAGUGAUGAAGGUCUUCGGAUCGUAAAACUCUGUUAUUAGGAAAGAACAAAUGUGUAAGUAACUAUGCACGUCUUGACGGUACCUAAUCAGAAAGCCACGGCUAACUACGUG
rnacentral:rRNA from 1 species